rnacentral:rRNA from 1 species
UACGAAGGGUGCAAACGUUGCUCGGAAUCAUUGGGCGUAAAGCGCACGUAGGCGGCUUAGCAAGUCGGAUGUGAAAUCCCUCGGCUCAACCAAGGAAGUGCAUCCGAAACUGCUGAGCUUGAGUACUUAAGAGGAUCGCGGAAUUCCCGGUGUAGAGGUGAAAUUCGUAGAGAUCGUAAGGAAGACCAGUGGCGAAGGCGAGUCUCUGGACAGAUUCUGACGCUGAGGCACGAAGGCCAGGGGAGCAAACGGG